CCGCACCUGGUCCACCGGUGCGAGCGCGAUCACCGCUCGUACCGGUGUUCGGGUGGCGGCAUCCAGUACGGCCAGCUCGGCCGUGGUGCUGCGGUC
rnacentral:tRNA from 1 species